rnacentral:misc_RNA from 1 species
GAACGCACCUUGCACUCUUUGGUAUUCCGAAGAGUAUGUCUGUUUGAGUGUCAUGAAACUCUCAACCCCCUUGUUUUGUAAUGAAACGAGUGUGGGCUUGGAUUAUGGCUGCUGCCGGCGUUAUUGUCGGCUCGGCUGAAAUAUACGAGCUACCCAUUUCUAAGAAAUAGACGGUUUGACUCAGCGUAAUAACAUAUUUCGCUGAGGACGUCACAUUCUUUAACAUUAGUGGUGCUUCUAAUGCGACAUCUAAACCUAAGCUUUAGACCUCAAAUCAGUCAGGACUACCCGCUGAACUUAAG